UCUUAAUAACACGGAAUCGGCUGAAUAACACGCAAUAAUAUUAACUCAUUUCUUGUACCCACUACAGCAGAUUUUUCACUCGAUCGUCUUAUCAUGGUAUCGUUUGACGUUUUGAACAACAACGCUGUUUGCUCCGGGCAUAGACAGGUGCACGAGAAGUCGAGAACCCACCCAUCUGGUCCUUAACAACCACUGCAGCGGCAGCAGCAGCAGAUGAAUAUAAGAUAACAUCCUCGUUUGUUUACAAUAUUCUCCGGAGCGAACUCGGAUUUCUCUGUACACACACUCACGAGAUAUUACAAUACCUGCGUCGAGUGUCUCUCUCCUAUAUAUAUAUAUAUUAUUAUCCAUUAAUAUAUAUAAUAGUACGCCUCUACAAAAUUGUUGGACGACAGCGUACGGUACGAUAGAUGCGACGGACACGGACUUAUAGUGCGUCUUACAAAACGGUUGAUGCUGUAUACACAAUACACCCCGUCCCAUCAGCGCCGCCGCCGCACAAAGGUGACUCGACGAAAAAAAAAAUGAAACGGCACGUUAAUAAUGGUCUUUCCGAGAAAAUAUCUGCGGUGUGUUUUAUCGCAUCAACUGUUACGAUAAUAAUUCGCACGAUGGCCGCCGAGUGGCCAUGCCUCGGUAAACUGCGACGACGACGACGUCUUAUGCGGCCCGCGAUGUCCGAUUUUUAUAUUAUACAAUUAUAGCGGUAUAGGUAGUAUUAAAUAGACGAGCGUGAAAAAUCGUUCGGUUUCUUAUGUUUUUGCCGGUCGAACGCCGCCUGUUUUUUUUUCAUUAGGGUCCAUAACUAAGUGGAAAAAAAAACCGAUAAAUAUAUUGGCUGGUACGUCCGGCGGUACAGAUUUAAAUUUGAAAAAUAAAUCGAUUUCGCUAUAGCCACUAUGAUGUCAGAGUAAAAAUUUAAUACCUAUUUUAUGUAUUAAUAGUGUAAUAUUACAAUAAGUACUAUAAUAAUCAAUGCAUAUAAAGAUUUUUCUUCAUACCAUGACUACGCUUUUCAGAUCAAAUCAUUUUCAACAAAUAUUCGGUUUUAGAAGAUACUUUGAAAUAAUAACUAAUAAAUUUACUUGAAUAGUAAAUAUAAUGCCUAUAAUAUUAUGUACAAAAGUUUUAUUUUCCGAGCUCAACUGAUAUUACAUAACUUUGAAUAAAAAAUUAUUUUUAGAAACCUGGGGAAGACGAUAAUAAACACGUUCAUAAAAUAUAUCAUUAUAUACCGUUAAACCUUAAACAAGACAUAAUAUUUUUAACAAUAAUUACAAUAGAAAUAGAAAAGGUUUUUAAAGCACGUCAAAAGUAUUUUAUGAGUAUUUUAAGAAACCAGUUGUUCUAUUUUAACUUGUGUCAUCAUCUUGGGCUGUUUUUCUAUCUGUUUAACGUUCACAAAACAUACCACAUAUCCACAACAACAGUUUUAUAUGUCGACAGAAUAUUAUUCAUGAUUUUAAAUUUGUACAGUCUAUAAUAUAGUGAUAGAAUGAUGUAUAGAGUCUGCAAUACACAUUACUAACUUUGGUAAGUAUAUGAAAAUCGAAAUCAUCAAUAAGCAACAAAAUCAGUUACAA